CUUUAAGGUGUUUACAGCUUGUUAUUUUUAGAUAUCAUAAAACCUUCUAACUUUUAACUUUAAUAAUAUUUUAUUGCAUUUUUAUGCCCUUGCCAUGAAAUUGCCCUGGGACCAAGAGGAAAUUCAGGUUAAGUGAGGAUUCCCGUUUAGAGGGGAAAUCAACUAUUUUGCUUUCAGUUGGUCAUUUACAUAGUCUAAUGUGAAAAACUUUUCUUGGGUGAGGAGUUGAUUUCCCAAUGAGACAUGUACAAAAAUAUAUAAAUAUUUUGAGGUACAUUUAACAUUCCAGCUCUGAGCACUAUUCAAAACGGAAGAUUACCUAGAAUUAUGUCAGCAGAGCUAGUGGAGAAAGUAUUCAAUCAAGUGCUGCCUGUAGACAAGUACAUCCAGGACCUAAGAAAAGGUCUUGACAGUCUUGGUCUUGUUCAGCUUGUUCAAGAACUGCCAGCUGUUAUUCUCCUGUUCACACCUCAACAGUCGAAUCCUUUAGCGGUGAAGAUGUUGACACACCUAUUGAACCCACAGUUUAGUGCUGAAGGGUCAAACAGAAGACAGAGAGAGAAUUCCACAUACACGUUGUUCAUCAAAUACAUGCUUGAAGCUGCAAGUGGAAGAUGAGAUGCUGUAAAUCUUGGGAGCAUAUUAAGGUUUGCCACUGGUACAGAGGAGGAACCUGCCUUGGGCUUUGCUCUUCAGCCUUCCAUUCAAUUUAUGGAAAGUGCUAAUUUCCUGCCCACUGCAAAUACCUGCAUAAACAGAAUGAAUUUAUCAUUGCCAGAUGAAAGUAAUCCACUACCACUGCAAGAGGAACUGUUCAAUUUGUUUGAUCUAGCAUUUUGUAACACAUUCUUUGGUUUAGAAUAAAAAAUGACAUUCACAUAUAAUUAUACCCCCAUUACCAUUGGUAAUAGAGGCUAUAUAGGAGUCACUCUGUCGGUCAGUCGGGCUGUCACAAAAUUUCAUCCAAUCUUCACCAAACUUGGUCACAAGUUGUAUCUAGAUGAUGUCUAGGUCAAGUUUGAAUAUGGGUCAUGCCAGGUCAAAAACUAGGUCACGGGUCACUUACUGCGUUUUAAACCGAAAGUUUGUCCGGACCAUAACCAUGUCAUUUAUCAUUAGAUUUCAAAAUCACUUGGUACAUUUGUUCACCAUCAUAGGACGGUGUGUCAUGCAAUAGAAGGACGUCGAUGUCUCCAAGGUCAAGGUUACACUUUGAAUUCAAAGGUCAAGUCGGUCGGUCUGUCUGUCCCAAAAAUUUCAUCUGAUCUUCACCAAACUUGGUCAGAAGUUGUAUCUAGAUGUUGUCAAGGUCAAGUUUGAAUAUGGGUCAUGCCGGGUCAAAAACUAGGUCACUGCGUUUUAAACUGAAAGUUUGUCUGGACCAUAAGUUCAUAACCAUAUCAUUUAUCAUUAGAUUUUAAAAUGACUUGGUACAUUUGUUCACCAUAAGUGGACAGUGUGUCAUGCAAAAGAAUUAAGUCGAUAUCUCCGAUGUCAAGGUCACUCUUGGAGUUCAAAAUUCAAAAAAGGCCAUAAAUGAGCUUGUCAAUGCCAUAACUAUGUCAUUCAUUGUAAGAUUUGAAAAUGACUCCCUACAUUAAUUUUGUUCACAGUCAUUGGACGGCAUGUCAUGCAAAAGAAUUCAAGAGUUCAAAGGUCAAAAUGGCCAUAAAAGACAAUGGCAUAAUCAUUCUUCCAAAUCGCCAUAAAUUAGCUUCUCUUGUUUUGUGAAGACAGCGUGCAAAAUAUUCAAUGUCACUGCAGCAUUUUGGGGUAUAUGUCACGUCUGUGACAAAGCUCUAGUUGUGUAUAUGUAUGUAGUAAAAAAUGUUUUGAAUGUAGUAUGUGAGUUAUAUUGGUGUAAUCAACAUUUACUUUGUGAACCCUCAAGAGGCCAACCUUUUUUUGCAAUCUUGAAACUUGGUCAGCACAUUUGUCCCCAUAACAUUAUUACCUCUCCUGAGCACUAUAGCCCCUAUGUAGAGCUUAUGUGAUAGUCCUUUGUUUUUUGUGCAUAUAGUCCUUUUUUUUGUGCAUCGUCAAUAUAUGCCAUGUGAACGCUAGAGUCUACAUUUUUGUCCGAUCUAAAUGAAACUUGGUCAGAUAAUUAGUCCCAAUGAUAUCUGGACUCGGUUUGAAAUUGGGUCAUUAAGAUGUCAAACACUAGGUCAAAAAGAAAAACCAUGUGAACACUAGAGGUCAAAUUUGAUGCCUAAUCUUCAUGUAAUUUUGUAAUAAUGUUUUUUUUAAUGAUAGGUUCAUUGUUGGUUGAGCAUGAAAAUAAGCCUUUUUUCCAUGAACAUUUACAAAUUUUACUGUAUUGUAGUGUACACAAUGUGUAAAGUAUAUCAAUUCUUUGAAUUUGCUUAUUAGCAUGUUGUUAAUUAUGUCUUAUUUACAUGCAAUACAUUUUGCUUGUUUACAUUGUAAAUGUGAUGUUCAUUUAAGUGUUGUCUGGGCUUGUUUCCUUCUUUUGCAGCAGCAAAGUAUAUUGACCCUUUUACCCAAGAAAAACUAUGCUGUUUACCUUCAAAUUUACUUUUAAAAACCAUAUUAUCUCCUCAGUGGUAACUUUUCCUCAUAUUUAACAUUUUGACCAUUUCCCCUAAUCAAAAUCAUAAAAAUGACGUGUAAUUUGGUUUUGUUCCUAAUGGUAUGUAACCCCAUGUUCUUGUCAUAUUUUUGUGAUAUCUUUUUCAUUGUUUAAAAGUUUUUUUUCACAAAUUGUUACUUAUGAGCUAUUGUGACCUGUCUUUGUUGGUCGUCCUGUAUCUUGUGUCAACCUAUUUACUUAAACGACAUCUCCUCCUUACCAGCUGGUCCAAUAUUAAUUAAACUUGGCAAGAAUGUUCCUUGCAUGAAGCUCUUUUAAAGUUUUUCAAACAAAAGCAUUCCAUGAAUAACUCUGGCUCUUGUUGCCAUGGCAAGCGAAAGGAAAAUUUAAAAAAAAUCUCAUCUGUUUUACCCCCACUACCAUUGGUGUGGGGGGGGGGCUAUAUAGGAAUCACUUUGUCUGUCUGUCCCAAAACUUUGUCCGGACCAUAACUUUGUCAUUAAUCGUAAUAUUUUAAAAUGACUUGGUUAAUUUGUGCACCAUUAUGGGACGGUGCAUCAUGCAAAAGAAGUAUGUCAAUAUCUCCAAGUUCACGGACACACUUUGAGUUGGAAGGUCAAUAUGCCCAUAGACGAGUUUUUCUGGGCCAUAACUAUGUCAUUUGUUGUGAGAUUUUUAAAUCAUCUGGCAGGUUUGUUCACCAUCAUUACACGGUGUGUGAUGCGAAAAAAUUCUGUCCAUAUCACCAAGGUCAAGGUCACAUUUUCAGUUCAAAGGUCAUAUAUGGCCAUAAACUGACCUUGUCUGGGCCAUAACUAUGUCAUUCCUUGUGAGAUUUGUGAAUGACUCAGUGCAUUUGUUCACCAUCAUUGAACAGUAUGUCAGGUGAAAGACCAACACCGAUAUCUCCAAGGUCAAGGUCACACUUGCAUGAUAAUAAAUUAUUCUUUAAAAUAAAAUAAAAUUAGUUUCUCUUACUUUGUGAAAACAACGGGUUAAAUAUUCAGUGUCAAUGUGGCAUGUAGGGGAAUUAGUUAGUUCUUCUUGUCUGAGUUAUUGUCCUUUAAAGAUUCCUAUGUUAUUACAUGUUGUUAAGCGCAAGUUCUCUGAGCCUUACACAUGUUCCAUUUUUCAGCCACUGUUGUAGGUGUAUUGCCAAAAUUAGAGACAAAGCACAUUCAGGGAGCAUAACCUUUGUGGUCUGUGACAGCGACUUGUACUUGUAAUUGCUUAGCAUGAAUGGCAAUCUUUUGAGACAAGACCAUACGGUGCAGGUAAAGACGUAAUUAAUGAGCUAAAGGUAUAGUUCUAGCAAUAACAUGUUGCCCGUGUCCGUUUGAAUGACUUCAUGUGAUAUUUCUUUUGUACAACUUUGUGAAAGUAUGCACACGAGCUGCGUUCAUGUAAUUGAGAAUCUUAUUAAAUGUUUAGUUAUUUGAGGUUAGUCUGUGUUACUUCAUUUAGAAGCAAAAUGAAAAUGCCCAAGGAAAUUAUAGACAGCCAGCAUGAGAUAUGUAAUUAUCCCCCGCCAGAGGCGGAGGGAUAUUGUUUUGGCGUCUGUCCGUCCGUCCGGAACACUUGUGUCCGGAGCAAUAUCUUGGAAGUGCUUUGGCGGAUUUCAUUAAAACUUGGUAUGAGUAUAUAUAUGGAUAAAACGAUGAUGCACGCCAAAUGGCAUUGUACACCAUCUGUUAAUAACGGAGUUAUAGCCCUUUGUAUAUUGAAAAAAUGCUUUUUACUAUAGGCACUUUUGUGUCCGGAGCCAUAUCUUGGAAGUGCUUUGGCGGAUUUCAUUGAAACUUGGUAUGAGUAUAUAUAUGGAUAAGACGAUGAUGCACGCCAAAUGGCAUUGCACAACAUCUGUUAAUAACGGAGUUAUAGCCCUUUGUAUCUUGAAAAAAUGCUUUUUACUAUAGGCACUUUUGUGUCCGGAGCCAUCUCUUGGAAGUGCUUUGGCGGAUUUCAUUGAAACUUGGUAUGAGUAUAUAUAUGGAUAAGACGAUGAUGCACGCCAAAUGGCAUUGUACAACAUCUGUUAAUAAUGGAGUAAUGGCCCUUUGUAUAGUAGUACGUCAUCCGUCCGAUUUGCACCCAUCCUUGAACAAAAUAUAUGUUGCGGGGGAUAUCAAUUCUACGAAUUUGCUUGUUCUUCUUGAAUCUUGCUCGAUUCCUGUAUGUACAGUGGGAAUAGUUUGUGCAGGUAUGUUUGAUUAUGCUGUUUUCUUCAUGUUCAUACUGUGUGUUUGUAUGUGAACACAGUACAUGCUAUGUAAGUAGUUCUAUGUGUUAUUGUUAUGUUCUUGUAACUAGAUAUGAAAACAAAAUGAUAAGCUGCAUGAAACUUUUAUUUACAAAUUCAAAAUAAUCUCAAUUGACCAACUGUAAAUACAUAAUAGAGUGAUUGAAAUAAUGUAUCAUAUUUCUUUAUUUUUUAUUGCAUUAGUGUAGGUUUUUUAUACGCCCGUAUAAAAUACGGGACGUAUUAUGUGAAACCCCUUGGCGGGCGGCGGGCGGGCGGAAGGCAUCACUUUGUCCGGACUCUAAUUCAAAUUGUAUUCAUCCGAUCUUCACCAAACUUGGUCAGCAGUUGCAUCUAGUUGAUAUCUAGGCCAAGUUCGAAUAUGGGUCAUGCCGGGUCAAAAACUAGGUCAUAGGGUCAAUAAGUGCAUUUUCAAAGGGGCCACUUUGUCCGGACUCUAUUUCAAAUUGUAUUCAUCCGAUCUUCACCAAACUUGGUCAGCAGUUGCAUCUAGUUGAUAUCUAGGCCAAGUUCGAAUAUGGGUCAUGCCGGGUCAAAAACUAGGUCAUAGGGUCAAUAAGUGCAUUUUCAAAGGGGCCACUUUGUCCGGACUCUAUUUCAAAUUGUAUUCAUCCGAUCUUCACCAAACUUGGUCAGCAGUUGCAUCUAGUUGAUAUAUAGGCCAAGUUCGAAUAUGGGUCAUGCCGGGUCAAAAACUAGGUCAUAGGGUCAAUUAGUGCAUUUUCAACGGCGCCACUUUGUCCGGACUCUAAUUCAAAUUGUAUUCAUCCGAUCUUCACCAAAUUUGGUCAGAAGUUGUGUCUAGAUGAUAUGUAGGUCAAGUUCAAAUAUGGGUCAUGCCGUGUCAAAAACUAGGUCACGAGGUUACUUAGUGCAUUUCAAGCAUUUAGCAUGGUGUCCGCUCUCUAAUUGAAGUAGUUUUCAUCUGAUCUUCACCUAAUUUGGUCAGAAGUUGUGUCUAGAUGAUAUGUAGGUCAAGUUCGAACAUGGGUCAUGCCGGGUCAAAAACGAGGUCACAUAGUGCAUUUCAAGCAUUAAGCAUGUUGUCCGCUCUUUAAUUGAAGUAGUUUUCAUCUGAUCUUCACCAAAUUUAGUCAGAUGUUACAUCUAAGUGAUAUCUAGGUCAAGUUCAAAUAUGGGUCAUGCCGGGUCAAUAACUAGGUCUUGAGGACACUUUCAAGCAUUGAGCAUGGUGUCCAAAACCUUCGAACGGGCGUAUCUUGUGACAGUUUGGCACUCUUGUUGCUAAAUUAUUUAUAUACAGCAACUUUUCUUGAGCCAGUAAAUAUCAUUGGGGAUUAUUUCUUAGUAAUUUUAUAUUUAGUUUUAUUUUUUCAAAUAAAUAUAGAGAUAGGAGAUAACUUUGUUAACAAUGGAGCCAAAGAUUUUUAAAUGAAAGUGCUUUAUUACUGUUUUGAUUCCUAUAUUUUAGUUGUUUUCCAUGUAUGUUUUGUUUUAUUUAAGAAAAUUUGUUUUAUUUGUAAUUGAAAGUAAAUAAAAUAACCUGAGCAAAGUAUGCUCAUGAAACGCU